rnacentral:rRNA from 1 species
AGUAAUGCGUAGGAAUUUGCCUUGGAGUGGGGGAUAGCCCGAAGAAAUUCGGAUUAAUACCGCAUGAUCUCUAAGGAGCAAAGUGGGCCUCUGAUUUAAGCUCACGCUCUGAGAUGAGCCUACGUCGGAUUAGCUUGUUGGUAGGGUAAAGGCCUACCAAGGCGACGAUCCGUAGCUGGUCUGAGAGGAUGAUCAGCCACACUGGAACUGAGACACGGUCCAG